UACGUAGGGUGCGAGCGUUAAUCGGAAUUACUGGGCGUAAAGCGCACGUAGGCGGUUUUUUAAGUCAGAUGUGAAAGCCCCGGGCUCAACCUGGGAAUUGCACUUGAAACUGGGAAACUAGAGUGUGUGAGAGGGGGGUAGAAUUCCAAGUGUAGCGGUGAAAUGCGUAGAGAUUUGGAGGAAUACCAGUGGCGAAGGCGGCCCCCUGGCACAACACUGACGCUCAGGUGCGAAAGCGUGGGGAGCAAACAGG
rnacentral:rRNA from 1 species